rnacentral:rRNA from 1 species
AUUGAACGCUGGCGGCAGGCCUAACACAUGCAAGUCGAACGAGUGGCGGACGGGUGAGUAAUGUCUGGGAAACUGCCUGAUGGAGGGGGAUAACUACUGGAAACGGUAGCUAAUACCGCAUACCAUCAGAUGUGCCCAUAUGGGAUUAGCUUGUUGGUGGGGUAAAGGCUCACCAGGGCGACGAUCCCUAGCUGGUCUGAGAGGAUGACCAGCGAAACUGGAACUGAGAGAAGGUGCAAAGGCCUAGGGGAGGCAGCAGUGGGGAAGAUGGCGCAAUGGGCGCAAGCCUGAUGCAGCCAUGCCGCGUGUAUGAAGAAGGCCUUAGGGUUGUAAAGUACUUUCAGCGGGGAGGCGUUAGCCGCAGAAGAAGCGCCGGCUAAAUCCGUGCCAGCAGCCGCGGUAAUAC